UUUAUCCUGGCUCAGGACGAACGCUGGCGGCGUGCUUAACACAUGCAAGUCGAACGGGGUGUUUAUUUCGGUAAACACCAAGUGGCGAACGGGUGAGUAACGCGUAAGCAAUCUACCUUCAAGAUGGGGACAACACUUCGAAGGGGGUGCUAAUACCGAAUGAAUGUAAGAGUAUCGCAUGAGACACUUACUAAAGGAGGCCUCUGAGAAUGCUUCCGCUUGAAGAUGAGCUUGCGUCUGAUUAGCUAGUUGGUGAGGGUAAAGGCCCACCAAGGCGACGAUCAGUAGCCGGUCUGAGAGGAUGAACGGCCACAUUGGGACUGAGACACGGCCCAGACUCCUACGGGAGGCAGCAGUGGGGAAUCUUCCGCAAUGGGCGAAAGCCUGACGGAGCAACGCCGCGUGAACGAUGAAGGUCUUAGGAUCGUAAAGUUCUGUUGUUAGGAACGAAGGAUAAGGGUUAUAAUACAGUCUUUGUUUGACGGUACCUAACGAGGAAGCCACGGCUAACUACGUGCCAGCAGCCGCGGUAAUACGUAGGCGGCAAGCGUUGUCCGGAAUUAUUGGGCGUAAAGGGAGCGCAGGCGGGAAACUAAGCGGAUCUUAAAAGUGCGGGGCUCAACCCCGUGAUGGGGUCCGAACUGGUUUUCUUGAGUGCAGGAGAGGAAAGCGGAAUUCCCAGUGUAGCGGUGAAAUGCGUAGAUAUUGGGAAGAACACCAGUGGCGAAGGCGGCUUUCUGGACUGUAACUGACGCUGAGGCUCGAAAGCUAGGGUAGCGAACGGGAUUAGAUACCCCGGUAGUCCUAGCCGUAAACGAUGGAUACUAGGUGUGGGAGGUAUCGACUCCUUCCGUGCCGGAGUUAACGCAAUAAGUAUCCCGCCUGGGGAGUACGGCCGCAAGGUU
rnacentral:rRNA from 1 species